UGGGGAUUAUUGGACAAUGGGCGAAAGCAUGAUCCAGCCAUGCUGCGUGUGUGAAGAAGGUAUUCGGUUUGUAAAGCAUUUUAAGGAGGGAGGAGGGGCAGUAAGCGAAUACCUUGCUGUUUUGACGUUACCGACAGAAUAAGCACCGGCUAACUCUGUGCCAGCAGCCGUGGUAAUACAGAGGGUGCAACCGUUAAUCGGAAUUUCUGGGCGUAAAGCGAGCGUAGGUGGUUCGUUAAGUUGAAUGUGAAAGCCCCGGGCUCAACCUGGGAACUGCAUCCAUAACUGGCGAGCUAGAGUAGGGCAGAGGGUGGUGGAAUUUCCUGUGUAGCAGUGAAAUGCGUCGAUAUAGGAAGGGACACCAGUGACGAAGGCGACCACCUGAGCUCAUACUGACACUGAGGUGCGAAAGCGUGGGGAGCAAACAGG
rnacentral:rRNA from 1 species